UGGCUUCAGGGUUUAGAAGGUUUCAUUUCUUCGUGUCAGGGUGGGCUUGGCAGAGAAGACAAUCAUGGCAGCAGGAGUGUGUGGUAGACUGUUCACAUCCCGGCAGGAUAAGGAUUCAGCAGACAUUAAUGUGCUUAGUCCUGGUAGAAAAAUAAAGGAGGGGUCAAAACCAAGAGAAAUUCUGUUUAUUGUUGAAGAUGGUCAUCAGGAGGAGUGGAUGGGCGCACCCAUAAACAAACUCAUCGUCAGGGUGGGACAGCGAUAACUGUUGGAACUGGGACUUCCAAUAACAACAAAGCCCCGAAUGCCGCCAGGACAAAUGAUGAAUAUGAGAUACCCUGAGCAUCUUGAGACUCACCAGAGCAAAACAACUCUGAGAGUCAAGAAGCUACACAUCUGGCUGUUGACUCUAGCGUGUGAUGGCAGGGAUAUUAUUCUGAAUGAAACAAGGAGGGACAGAAUACUGGGCUCUGUGCAAGCUUUACUCCUGUCAUUGCUUUUUCCUAUUGCAUUUAAAAUUUGGGGGCCUAAAAGUCAACCCUUGGUUUUGCAUAGCAGGCUGCAAAUGAAGCCUCUUCGAUACAUUAAGGCAUGUGCACAUAUAUGUUGCAUAUUUAUAAUGUUAUUCUAGUCCAUAAAGACUU